AGUCGAACGGCAGCACGGGCUUCGGCCUGGUGGCGAGUGGCGAACGGGUGAGUAAUACAUCGGAACGUGCCCUGUAGUGGGGGAUAACUAGUCGAAAGAUUAGCUAAUACCGCAUACGACCUGAGGGUGAAAGCGGGGGACCGCAAGGCCUCGCGCUACAGGAGCGGCCGAUGUCUGAUUAGCUAGUUGGUGGGGUAAGAGCCUACCAAGGCGACGAUCAGUAGCUGGUCUGAGAGGACGAUCAGCCACACUGGGACUGAGACACGGCCCAGACUCCUACGGGAGGCAGCAGUGGGGAAUUUUGGACAAUGGGGGCAACCCUGAUCCAGCAAUGCCGCGUGUGUGAAGAAGGCCUUCGGGUUGUAAAGCACUUUUGUCCGGAAAGAAAUGGCCUGGGAUAAUACCCCGGGUCGAUGACGGUACCGGAAGAAUAAGCACCAGCUAACUACGUGCCAGCAGCCGCGGUAAUACGUAGGGUGCGAGCGUUAAUCGGAAUUACUGGGCGUAAAGCGUGCGCAGGCGGUUUUGUAAGACAGGCGUGAAAUCCCCGAGCUUAACUUGGGAAUGGCGCUUGUGACUGCAAGGCUAGAGUAUGUCAGAGGGGGGUAGAAUUCCACGUGUAGCAGUGAAAUGCGUAGAGAUGUGGAGGAAUACCGAUGGCGAAGGCAGCCCCCUGGGACGUCACUGACGCUCAUGCACGAAAGCGUGGGGAGCAAACAGGAUUAGAUACCCUGGUGGUCCACGCCCUAAACGAUGUCAACUAGUUGUUGGGGAUUCAUUUCUUCAGUAACGUAGCUAACGCGUGAAGUUGACCGCCUGGGGAGUACGGUCGCAAGAUUAAAACUCAAAGGAAUUGACGGGGACCCGCACAAGCGGUGGAUGAUGUGGAUUAAUUCGAUGCAACGC
rnacentral:rRNA from 1 species